AGAUUUAUCGGACAAAGAUGGCCAUGCGUACCAUUAGCUUGUUGGUAAGGUAACGGCUUACCAAGGCAACGAUGGUUAGGGGCCCUGAGAGGGGGAUCCCCCACACUGGUACUGAGACACGGACCAGACUCCUACGGGAGGCAGCAGUGAGGAAUAUUGGACAAUGGGCGGGAGCCUGAUCCAGCCAUGCCGCGUGCAGGAUGACGGCCCUACGGGUUGUAAACUGCUUUUAUACGGGAAGAAACGCACCUACGUGUAGGUGUCUGACGGUACCGUAAGAAUAAGGACCGGCUAACUCCGUGCCAGCAGCCGCGGUAAUACGGAGGGUCCGAGCGUUAUCCGGAAUCAUUGGGUUUAAAGGGUCCGUAGGCGGGCGUAUAAGUCAGGGGUGAAAGUCUGCAGCUCAACUGUAGAACUGCCUUUGAUACUGUACGUCUUGAGUUAUAGUGGGGUUGCCGGAACAUGUGGUGUAGCGGUGAAAUGCAUAGAUAUCACAUAGAACACCGAUCGCGAAGGCAGGUGACCAACUAUAUACUGACGCUGAUGGACGAAAGCGUGGGGAGCGAACGGGAUUAGAUACCCCGGUAGUCCACGCCGUAAACGAUGGAUACUAGCUGUCGGGACCUCGGUUUCGGCGGCCAAGCGAAAGUGAUAAGUAUCCCACCUGGGGAGUACGUUCGCAAGAAUGAAACUCAAAGGAAUUGACGGGGGCCCGCACAAGCGGUGGAGCAUGUGGUUUAAUUCGAUGAUACGCGAGGAACCUUACCAGGGCUUAAAUGUAGAUUGCAUGGGGCAGAGACGCCCCUUUCUUCGGACCAUCUACAAGGUGCUGCAUGGUUGUCGUCAGCUCGUGCCGUGAGGUGUCAGGUUAAGUCCUAUAACGAGCGCAACCCCUACCGUUAGUUGCCAGCGAGUAAUGUCGGGGACUCUAACGGGACUGCCGGUGCAAACCGUGAGGAAGGUGGGGACGACGUCAAAUCAUCACGGCCCUUACGUCCUGGGCCACACACGUGCUACAAUGGCCGGUACAGAGGGAAGCCACCACGCAAGUGGGCGCGGAUCUAUAAAACCGGUCACA
rnacentral:rRNA from 1 species